CUUCCAGGUCUCCACCCCGAGUGCUAUAAAAACCAGUGUCUCAUCGAGCUGAUUCACCCCUGGAAGGGGCGGAGUCCUGGUGAGGGUUCAUGCUGCAUGGAGCCGGCAGGUCUUCUGCCUCCUCUGCCAGGCCAGAGAAGACAAACCCCUCUUUGUCCUCACGGUCAGAGGGGACCAUGCCAAAUGGGCUGCCUCAAAAACAUGUCCCUGGUGUGCUCCUGAUCUGAAUAAAGCAUCCCAGCCACUGGAUCUGAAAUGCCGGGGGAAAGGAAAUAAAAUUGCUGUACCUUGGAGGGUAUGUGGAAUGAGAUGAGGGGGAUACUGAGAGCAGAGAGAGAGAGAGUGAACUAUGUUGGGUGUUAGUUAUAAAAACGCCAGCGCUGAUGCACACGGACUAAGGUUUUAAAGAAAAGGACCCCUGAGCAGAAACCGAGAGCUUCGGUCACUCAUUCCCUGAGCCCAUACAAACCUUUCUCAGAAACGACACAGAGGAGAUGAGCUGGAAUUAUCCAGCUCACAGGAAGAACGCAAACCCUGGGAAAGGAAGCUGCGCUCCCGAUACGCCACUGAACACACUGCCGAUGGGAGAAUGCAAAGCACAAGUAGCAACACACAUUGGAUCCUUUUGCACAUGGAACCAGGAGACCCCGGAAGGUCAUGCCAGCUACCCACAAGCCGAAGCAGCCCCGGUUUCUAAUCAGCUCACCCUCUGCCUCUGAACCAGCGCCGAGGCGGACGACACGCCGGGGACUCGCCACGGAGAACACACCACCUCUGCUGUGGCCGGAGACUCUCUCCACAGGUGGCCUCAGAAAACACCAGGGUGGUUCCAGCCAGACCAGUCAGUGCAAACUGGUCUUGCACUUGACAAACAGCAGGCAGUUCCUGCUGUCAGGGUCACCGCAGUGGGCUCAGAGUUCUGUUUGAGAAAUACUCCUGCCCAGAAAAAAUAUUUACACAACCGAGAGUGGGCUGCAGGCGCUCCACCUGCGCUGCCAGGAGCCUCUGGCUCUGAGUGACCGGGGGUACCAGUGGCCUUUGUACCUCCUUGAAGAUCAGCGUGGAGACAGAGCCUGGAGCCGAGUAACUGACAGGCUCACGUAUGAAAUGUAUUCUAUUAAUUUAAAAUGACAGCCGCAUUUUCAUGCAAUUCAAUAAAGACUUGAAUAAGUAAAUAAUGUUAUCUGUCUCUGGGGGGAAAUGUAUAUAUUUAGGCUGUGAAAGAGAAACAGCAAAAGAGGGCAAAACGGCAAGUAAACUAGUAAAGGCAAGUAUUCGCAAAAA